rnacentral:rRNA from 1 species
GUACGUGAAAUUGUUGAAAGGGAAGCGCUUGCAAUCAGACUUGCCCGCGGGUGAUCAGCCGGUAUUCUUACCGGUGCACUCGCCCGUGGUCAGGCCAGCAUCGGUUUGGGCGGCUGGACAAAGGCCCCCGGAAUGUAGCUCCUCUCGGGGAGUGUUAUAGCCGGGGGUGCAAUGCAGCCAGCCCGGACCGAGGACCGCGCUUCGGCUAGGAUGCUGGCGUAAUGGUUGUAAGCGACCCGUCUUGAAACACGGACCAAGGAGUCUAACAUCUAUGCGAGUGUUUGGGUGUCAAACCCAUGCGCGUAAUGAAAGUGAACGGAGGUGGGAACCCUUAAGGGUGCACCAUCGACCGAUCCUGAUGUCUUCGGAUGGAUUUGAGUAAGAGCAUAGCUGUUGGGACCCGAAAGAUGGUGAACUAUGCCUGAAUAGGGUGAAGCCAGAGGAAACUCUGGUGGAGGCUCGCAGCGGUUCUGACGUGCAAAUCGAUCGUCAAAUUUGGGUAUAGGGGCGAAAGACUAAUCGAACCAUCUAAGUUACUAGAUGGCAUAUGUAGGCCGAUGAGCCCGAGUAGUCCCACGGUGGGGCGACAUUGCCAGUCUCCCGGGGACGCCUUAAGGGCUACCCGCAGUGGGCCACAGCGGCUCAUUCACAGACUAGAUGGCGGUGGCCGUGCCCGGGCGGCGCGGUUAGGAUAUAGCC